UAGAGGUGAAGAUUCAAGAAAACGAAAUGCAGCAGAAACGCGCGGCCGCGGACGUAUUUACCGGAGCUUCACACGAAGCCGCGUCGGAGCCUAAGUGCGACGGGACUCGCGGUUGAACGCGUUCAACGCGAUCUUCACCUCUCAACAUCGCUUCAAUUAUCAUCACGAUUUUGGAUCCUCUGUUCGUGCUUGGGUUCGAGGAUCAAGUCGUGGGUUCAUGGAUCAAAGUGUAACAUUGUAUUUUGUUGCAACCACUCGCGCUCGUGAAUUUCACUUCCAAACUCUUUAGCACCUCCAUGAUCACCGUGUCAACAUCGCCUUCGCAGAUUGCAUCAUCGCGUUCGUUCCUCAACGGUGUUUCGGAGACUCAAUGCUCGUAAUAUCCUACUCGACUCAGUGACUCAAGCAACAACUAUCGAAACGCGAAAUUGGAAACGAAUAAGGAUUGAGGCGAAAAAACUCACCGGUUUCUACGCGGCAACGACAACAGGUGGAACUACGAGAGGGCCAAGCUUGCGAUGCGAACAAGGCUCGUGUGGAUACAGCUGCGGAUCAUGAAGGUCGAAUUUCUGCAGGACGUGAAACCGAAGGAAGAUAAUUCCAGAUGUGAAUGAAUACGAUGAAACAAUAUGAAGGUGGUUGAACGAGUGAUGAAUCCAAAGAUUGAAGAAGGUGGAGAUUGAGGAAGAUGAAGAAGAUUGAAAUGUAAAGUGAAGAAUGAACCAUCUCCCCCUCAAUUGAGUAAGGCUAUGAAGGCAGGAACUUCUAGCAUAUGAAUGAUUCCUUCCAAUUGAGUUUCGUUUGUGACUUGGGAAGGCUUGAAGAUCAUCAUUGUGAAUGUUAAGACUUCUAAUGACAACUUAGUUAGAUUUGGUGAUAAAUUCUGUUAGCAUUGAAAUAGGCCUACUGAACUUGAAUUUGAAUUAUUAGAAGGGAAAUCAUUGGUUGUAAAAGGAACAAACUCCAAAAUCUUUCUAGUCUGUUACAAUUUUAGAGUUGUCGAAUGAGACUUAUUGUUUUGCUAA